rnacentral:rRNA from 1 species
AUUGAACGCUGGCGGCGUGCCUAACACAUGCAAGUCGAGCGCGAAAGUUCCUUCGGGAGCGAGUAAAGCGGCGCACGGGUGAGUAACACGUGGAUAAUCUGCCCAUCAGCUCGGGAUAACAGUUGGAAACGACUGCUAAUACCGGAUACGAUCCGAUAUCACUAUUGGGUGAAAGGAGGCCUCUGCAUAUGCUUCCACUGGUGGAUGAGUCCGCGUCUCAUUAGGUAGACGGUGGGGUAACGGCCCACCGUGCCGACGAUGAGUAGCCGGCCUGAGAGGGUAAUCGGCCACACUGGGACUGGAACACGGCCCAGACUCCUACGGGAGGCAGCAGUGGGGAAUAUUGCGCAAUGGGCGAAAGCCUGACGCAGCGACGCCGCGUGAGGGAUGAAGGCCUUCGGGUCGUAAACCUCUGUCAGGAGGGAAGAACGUGCAGCGUGCUAAUCAGCGCUGUUUUGACGGUACCUCCAAAGGAAGCACCGGCUAACUCCGUGCCAGCCGCCGCAGUAAAAC